GGCUUUGUAGUGUAGUGGUUAUCACCCGAGAUUCUGAUGAGUUGAUUACGUCAUAUCACGUGAUUCUCGUAACCCAGGUUCGAUCCUUGGCAAGGCCU